rnacentral:lncRNA from 1 species
CAAACAAUAAUAAUAGAGGCACAAAUGGAUUUAUACAAACUAAUAUGUGUGGCUGUAUUAUUACUAUAGAACAAGUAUAAACAUAAUAAAUUUGUUGUUAGACUUAAAAGAGACCGAGUCUGCAAACUAAUUAAGCAGAUAGUAAAAUAUUUUACCAAACGCAUACCCAUUAAUUAAAUGAAAGAUAAAUUCCUACCCAUACUGUACCUGCACCUACUCAAACAAUAAAAAUUAAAUUCAUUUGUUACGGAUAUUGGUUCAGAUCGAAUAUGUACAAAUAAUAUUGACACCCCUGGUUGCAGUCUCUUAUACAAACUUGAUUGAAAAUUAUAGUUAAAUUAUUUAUAUGAAUACUAAAGAAAAAGAAAAAGAAAAAAGAGGCCCCGAUUUCAAGAUCAUGAGACUUUGAUUCUGAUACAUAAACAAUUUUAUCCAACAUUAGCGGUUAGGUAUAAAUGACAAAUUAGAUUUCAUGCACACACCGUUAGGAUAAUUACUGAUUUUCCCAUUUCAAUAGAAAUUUGAUUGGCUUAACUAGAUUUAAUUUCUUUACAAUUACAAAUGUACAGCUUUCAUUGGGAUGUGUGACUGUAAAGUCAACUCCAUUCGUGGUUCUAUUUUAAUUUUGUUAUUUACUUUACAAGUCAUUCAUCUUUAGGUUAUUCAAAAUAGAGACAAAAAAAAAAAAUGUUAAUCUUAAUAACCCAUUUCAUUAUUGAAAAAAUGUUUUCCCAUUCCGUGCCCAUUGUGGCAUGCUGCCUAAAAUAAAAGCAUAUCCAUAUGUUACCCAUUUGUAACAAAGAUUAGUGCGCAUAAAAAGUAGAAAGCUUUUGAUUACUUUGCCUAAAAAGCAAGAAUUCCAACUCCCCCAACUUCGACACCUCAGUGGGAGAAGACCUAACUUGAAAUAUAUACUUUUAGCACUUAAUUUGAUACCCAAAAGUUGAUCAACUUGACCUUAAUUAAUUUAUUGGAUUAUGAUUAAAAUACUCUUUCAUUAUAAUAUAUAUAUUUUUUAAAACAAAGUUGAAAAUAUUGUAAUUCAAUGUGCCAAAUAUUACUGAAAGUUUGAGAUCAACAAUUCGUAAUUUCGUCCACUAAAUUAUGAAAAUUUGAGGAUUCCUAUUUAACAUGUGUUGUACUAGGUUAUAUGUUAUUCAUAUUAAUUUGUUCAGUGUUGUAAUAAAUUUAAUCUAGGUGGACACUGAAUACAUAAAUAAUAGACGAAGCAAAAGGGAUUUAAAAUUUUUUUAUUUUAGUUUCACGUGAAUACAUAAACACGCGUGCUUAGGGAUAGGGAUGCAAUUAUUCAUAAACCCUUGAACACAUGCCGUUAAUCCACAACUAAUUAAACUAAUGUUAAUUAGCUAUUAUUUCCCCUUAAUCAGUUAAUCCUUUGUUUAAGAGCAUUACGAGACUUAUUACAUUAUUAAGUCAUCCAAAUAACAAUUCACUGGAUGAUUGUAUCAUAUAAUAGAGAUGGUUUAUAUUUUUGCUGGAGGGAUUGAUCUUACAAAACAAAGUAUGUAUAUGUUUUCUUUUUCAAAGUUGAACAACAUUAUACGUUACAUAGAUCUACACAGUUCAUGUUUAUGCAUACAAUUUUGUAGCAUUUGACACUUUAGAGUCUGACCUAAUAUAUAUAAAAAAGAAAUGGUAACUAAAAAAAAAGUAGCUCAUUAUCUUUGAAAAUAGAAAUGGAGUAUUAUCAUUUUACGACCUAAUUUUUUCUUAUAUAUCACUUUACCACCUAACUUUUAUCAUUUUAACACCAAUUUGUUAAAGUUAACGGAAUUUUUAAUUGACCAAAAUUAUAGUAAAAUCUAUUUUAGCCCUAAAAUAUGUAAGUGUACCUUAAUCUUCUAAGUUUGAAAAAUACAAAAUUAAUUAUAUACCAAGAAAUAAUGCUUUUAUCAAAUGAUUAUU